GCGCGGCGCCCAGACUCGCCCCUCCCAGCCUCGCCGCGCAAGUCUGUCCCUCGCUGGAGUUGUUGGCGUCUGAAGUCCAAUUUGCAGCUCUUUCGCGAGCGGGUGCAAGGAAGAACUCGAGACCUCUCUGCACCUCUACAAGGGGGAAGCAUAAGGUGCAAGAGGAACCUACCUGCAUGCUGUAGUAGAAUCCAGUCUCAUCUGGGAGGAUCAAGAAGAUCCAAUAGCAUCUUCCAAAAGAACCAAAGGACCAUUUGAGCCUGCCAAAGGAAAAACGGAUGGAAGACAGGGGCAAGCCCCAAUCCAGACAGAAGGAAUCAACUUGUAAAGUCAAGGAAUCAAGAAAACAUGGCAGUUACUGGGGCUAUAAAGAGUUUCAGUGAGAGGAGUGUCUAGCAGGCAAUGAUGGUUAAGCAGGAAAGGAUUUUAUUUCUACGCUUUUCUACUUGAAUUUACCCUAGGAACAAGAAGAAGCCAUUGAGUAGCAACACUGGAGUCAGACUGGUUGUUUACUUACUAGCUGUGAGUUUAGGAGAAGUUUUUAAUCUGAGCCUUGGUUUUGUCAUCUAUGAAAUGAUGAUAAUAAAAAUGCCUGCAUAAUAGCACUGUUGUGAGGAUUAAAUUCCUGGACCUAGUAACUCAAUAGAGUUUUACUGGAGGGUUGGAGACUUUGAAGGUUGCAGGACUUGCUUGGCAUGGCUGCUGCAUCCUCUGCCCAGAGUGUCUCAGGCUAAAGGCAAGGAAACGAAGACUCAUGGAUGCUACAUGGCCAGUUGACAGGAUUAGCCUUCCCAGACCCAGGCCUUUUUAUUUCUACGGUUCCUAGCCAUUUAAAGCAUGUUUGUGAUGGAUUUGGCAACAAUGCAUACAAUGCUAAUUCUCCUUAUGACUAACCACUAAUCGGAUGUGCUCUGAAAUACUGACACUGAUUUCCCUCCUGUUUGAUUUUUGGCAACCAAUCUCAUUGCUUUAUGGCUGCCCUGUAUUAUGGGCCCUCAUGAUUUAUUAGAACGAAGAAAGGUUGAAAUAAUUGGAGAGGGUGUGGGGCCCACGCUUAAGACUUUUAUUUCAUUUAUGACUGGUUUGUUAACAAUCUAAGCUCAACUACGUGUCCAGCAUUGUUCUCCAAACUUGUCAUGCACUUUUCUUUCUUGAUAAUCAUCUCUCAUUGCCAUUUCUCAUCUUUCAAAAGCUCAGCCUCACUAUCCUGUCUUGGGACUUCCUUCUCCAGCUAGAAUUUCCCAAUUCUGUGGCUCUUUCUCCAUGAACUCUGGGUUCCUUCCAUUUUUAUUUACGCAUAGUAUCUCCCUCACCCAGACGUUGCUCUUACCCAUCCUACCCUAAAAUUAUUCAAGAAAUUUCUCAUCAAAUCCUCAAAUAAAUGCCGCAUUAAAUGGAGAAGAAAGGAGAGGGGAACCACAUUUAUUAUUCCAGGAGAAGUACUGGAUGCUUUACAGGUAUUUUCUCAUUGAAUUUUUCUAAUCUCAUGGGAAGUGAGCAGCAGUGGCCUAGGCUAUAAAUAAGGAAGCUGAGGUUAGGUGAGUUGUCACAGUUGCAUUCCAGACCUCAGCAUGUACAGUUCCAAAGACACUUCCUUCCACUGCUUGGGUUGGGCCACAGGUUUUGACCCUUUUGCAUCAGCUCCAAAUGAUAAUGACCACUUGGAUCUAGUAUUGAGUAGCCGGAAGAAGCCUCAGUCAGGUUGAGAGGAAAGAUAAUAGAGAUGUUUUCCAAGUUUGGUGGAGGGAAGAAUGAUAAGCCACCCACAACACAUUCCACCUCUCUACCUGCCUGUGACACACAGCCAGAGUUAGAGGUUUCCCUGGAAGAAGAGGUAUACCAGGGAGUCAAGCCAUAAAGCUUGUGAACUGGAGUCUGUUGGGGAAAGUGAAGUUGAAUUUGCAUUUGUUGUUUAUAUAUGGAAGCCAGGUGGUUAAUUGCUGUCUGCUGGGAGGUGAAUCAUGAGCCACAGCAGGAGAAAAACCCAGAUUCUGAACUGACCAGUACACCUUUGUAUAAAGCACAUGGGGGCAGCAAGACCAAUGCUGAGGCUCUUACGUGCCUGAAUGUCACUCUCUGGAGUGACUCAUUUAGGAGGAGCCAGUUCUUAUGCCCCUGCUUAGGGUCUUUCUUGGUACACAAGUCAUCAGUGAGCAGCGGUCAGCUUUCUCUCCAAAGACCUGGGAAUGCCAGGAAAGGAGAUGGCACAAGACAGCAGGCAGGGAAAUUGCUGCUUGGUGUGUUCAUUAGGCCUAAUCCUUCGCUGUAUGUCAACAUCACAGGAAGCUGCAUGGUGAUGUGUCUGACAGUUACAAAGACAGUCACCCUCAAGCGGGGUUAGUCAGGAUAUUCAGAAGGGAAGAGGCUGAAUCUGGCAAAAGGCAUUCCAUGAAUAUUUAAUGACUGAAUGAAUAAGCAAUGCAGUGUAAAUUAGGGCUAAUUAUGGAUUCAGGAGAUCUGAGUCCCAUUUGUUUUAUUUCCUCAUCUGAUGAAUGUCUACCCCUUGGUUGCUGGAGGCAGAAUCUUUGCUUAUAGAAGGCAAGGAGGCAGAUUUAGAGAUCACUUAGAAGUGGGGGUAUUUGGGGUAGAGGAAGCCAAUGUAUGAAUGAUGAGCUUCUCCACAAAGGGCAUCUGUCCAAGGGGUGGAUGCUGAGGUGACCCAGGAGGCUGAGCACUCUUCCACUGGGGCAGAUUGUAGGUUUAUCUGAACAUAAGACAAGUGAGGCACCCCCCCAAGAAUGAAUAACAAUGUAUUUGAAGAGUGAUGUUGAAGUAGACAAACUAAAGACACCUUAUCUAUAAACCGUUAAGCAUGCUCUCUAGAUUAUGGAGGUUUGAUUCCCAGUCUGGGCUACACCCUAGAAUCACCUGGGAGCUUUUCAAAGCUACCAGUGCCCUGAUUUUUCCCCCAGAAAUUUGGAUCCAAUUGAUCUUAAAUGAGGCUCAAGAAUCUUUAGGUAACUCUUUUGUGCUGUUAAGGCUGAAAAUCUUCACUUCAGACAAAACUCAAAGCAUCUUCAAACCAAUACAUGAAUGGACUUUGGAUUCUGAAGGAACUCAGAAGAAACAUUUAGGGAUUAUUGAUCCACACUAUGCAAACCAUUGACUUCUCACCAGCCCCGAAUCUCAAGGCCUGACAAAUUGGCCACACGAGUGUCCCUAGAGGGAGCACUAAGAAGUAUGCUCAUGGAACCAAACAGGGUAACCAAGACAAAGAAUUAGAUCCUGGAACUUGCGCAGCCUGCCAGUGGAGGGAAGGAGAGACCAUACAAGGGGGCUCAGCACAGUGGAAAGAGCACCAAGCCAACCGUCAAAAGUUUGUCUCUCAUUCAUGACUCUGUGACAGGGAUAAGGUUCUAUGCCAAGGGUAUAACACAACACUAAAGAAUUUGCUUCUGGAUAUAGAACUUAAAUUGAAGAAGAAAAGGUGACUGAAUAAGCACUUCUCUGGUUGAAUAAAAGCAUAAUAUUAUCACUGUCACCAUCAUCAAUCAUCAUCAAUGGACAUUCAUGUAGUACUUGAUAAUUUACAAAGAACUUGUACGUAAUAAUAAUCACUACUUUAUGGUACUCAGUAGUAAAAAGGCUUUUCUACAUUCUACUGUGAGUAUAGGCUCAAAAUAUAAAUUGAUCCAUUUAUAGGACCUUUAGGAGAAGUAAGAGGGAUGGAGAUUCGACACUAACAGCCAGAAAGCAAACAUCUCGGAAGAUGACCAGGUGCAUGUCCAUCAGCUCCACCAGUGGUCUCCUGGCCAUGGUCAAGAGCAGAAAUUGGGCCCCAGGGUCCACUUACCUUGCUGGGUCAUGUGUCUUUCCUGUGCCACUAGAAUCCUUACAUCUGGUCCUCUCUCUCCCCUCAAUUUCCAUUGACAACCAUCACUAUGUCCUUCCCUCUAGGAGUCCUCUCCCUCCUGGCCUAGGAGUCAGAAAUUCCAGGCCCUAGUCACAGCUCUGUCACUUAAUUACUUCACUCCACCUGGCUCUCACUUUCCUUACCUGGAGCUGAGAGGAGCCAUCUCUUGCCUACCUUGUCAGGUCUAUGUCAGCCUCAAAUAAAGUGAUAUAUGGAAAAAGGCUUUGAAACAUUCAAAAGCACAGUCCAGAAAGACCUGAAGAGUGAGAACUACUAUUCUUUGGAGGCUCAACAGAACCAGAAAUUUGAUCUCAUUGCCUUCAGGUCAGGUCAAUGCCUUGCUUGACCUCAUGACCUCCGGAUCCCCAUUCCCUGUUACACCAACCUCUGAGUACGUCAAUGCCAGAUUGUUGCCCAGAUUUCUGAAGUUUAUCAGGGCUGAGUCAAUCACAUGAACACCCCAGGUUGCACCCCUGUUUCCUAGAGUCCUCUUCUGGCUUGUUUUGAUUGCACCCACUCUCUGUCUCCCACCCACUGUCCGUCUCCCACCCACACCUGCCCUUGUUCUCAGCUAAGCUAUGUAUCUCCUUAAGGAAUACUAAAUAUUUUGCUACUGAUCUAUAAUCAUAAUGAGGAACAUAACUCAGCAGCCCAAAGGAAAAACAUUAUAAAUUAUGGAGUUCAAUAUUAAGUGAAUUUUUAAAGAAUCAGCCAAAGUGUUUUUCUUGGCUAUGUUGGCUAAAAGUACAGCAGUAGACCUUUACUUUUAGAUAUCUUUUGCUUUGUUAAAUUUUUAUUGACAUUCCCAAAUGUGUGUGUGAAUGUGUGUGUGCAUGCACACACACUUGUGUGUUGAUCUGAGAGUCCUGAUGGCAUCUUAACCUAUCAUCAAUUCAACCAUAUAUUUUAAAUCUGUAACUUUUUAAAAUCUACAUAAAUAAGUUUUUCUCAGAAAUAAUAAAGUCAAAUACAUGGA